UGGUUAUGCAUCUGCAAUUAAUAUUUGCAGCUAGCCUCAUUAGUGAAUUGAGAUUGAGAUGUGCUUGAAACCGUUAAGAUUAAUAUUUUCUAAAUACUUUAAUGGCACAUCAUUAUCAUGUUCUCAGUCUUACCAUGGUUUGCAUUAUAAUUAAUUUGUUAAACUGGAACGGCAUUCCCGCUAUUUUUAUAAAAUUUUGAGUUCUCUGUCUUACAGAUUUUGUGUUUUUAAUAUGGAUGCUGAGAUUUAUUACAUUUUUGUGGAUGAAGGCGCCAUUGUCCUUGUAGUUGAGUGUGCCACAA
rnacentral:lncRNA from 1 species